UACGGAGGGUGCAAGCGUUGUUCGGAAUCAUUGGGCGUAAAGCGCGUGUAGGCGGCUUGGCAAGUCAGUUGUGAAAGCCCGGGGCCCAACCCCGGAACUGCAUCUGAAACUGCCUAGCUAGAGUCCCGGAGAGGAAGGCAGAAUUCCCGGUGUAGAGGUGAAAUUCGUAGAUAUCGGGAGGAACACCAGUGGCGAAGGCGGCGACCUGGGCCAAUACUGACGCUGAGGUGCGAAAGCGUGGGGAGCAAACAGG
rnacentral:rRNA from 1 species